GGCUGGGCCGAGUGCAGCGGUGUUUACAACUAAUUGAUCACAACCAGUUACAGAUUUCUUUGUUCCUUUCCAUUUCCCCUCCUUCACUCGACCAGCCUUAA
ensembl:Y_RNA Y_RNA Y RNA